CCUACGGGUGGCUGCAGCUAGGAAUCUUGCGCAAUGGACGAAAGUCUGACGCAGCGACGCCGCGUGCGGGAUGAAGGCCUUAGGGUCGUAAACCGCUUUCAGCAGGGACGCGGUACCUGCAGAAGAAGCCCCGGCCAACUACGUGCCAGCAGCCGCGGUAAUACGUAGGGGGCGAGCGUUGUCCGGAUUUAUUGGGCGUAAAGAGCUCGUAGGCGGUUUGGUAAGUUGGAUGUGAAAUCUCCAGGCUGAAAUUGGAGGGGUCAUUCGAUACUGCCAUACUAGAGUUCGGUAGGGGAGUGUGGAAUUCCUGGUGGAGCGGUGAAAUGCGCAGAUAUCAGGAGGAACACCCGUGGCGAAGGCGGCACUCUGGGCCGGACUGACGCUGAGGAGCGAAAGCGUGGGGAGCGAACAGGAUUAGAUACCCUAGUAGUC
rnacentral:rRNA from 1 species